GGGAUGUUGUUAUGCACUGGAUUUAUAUUGAGGUUUGGUUCACCACCAAACCUUUU
rnacentral:ncRNA from 1 species